GACCGUGUCUGUAGUGAGUAUUUGUAUAUGUGUCAGUGAGCUUGUGUGUGUCAGUGAGCUUUACUGUAGUGAGCAUUUGUGUGUGUCAGUGAGCCUGUCUGUCGUGAGCGUGUGUGUGAGACAGUAAGUUUUGUAGUAAGUUUGUGUUUGUAUACCAAUUGGUUUGACUGUAGUUUGUGUUUGUGUACCAGCAAGCUUGUCUGUGUGUAUCAGUGAGAUUGUCUGUC